CACAAUCUCAUGCUGGGGAAACUGAUGAUCCUGGAUACAUUCAUAAGGAAAAUCCUGUUUUGGGGAACACUGAGCUUCGCUCUUCAAGAUCUUACCAUCCUUGAGAUCACUGUUGACAUUCCUAUUAUAUAUUCAUAAAUUGAGGAAAAUAUUUUUGUAAAUUUCAAAAACAUGAUUGUUUAUAUAUCUUUUGUUUCAAAAAUUAUUAUAAAAAAUAAAUAAAGUUUCGUAAACUGAAACAAGAUAGGAACAACAAACAAAUGGGAAAACUCAGUUGCAAUAUCCAUCAUUUAGCUUGCAACAAGCCUUCCAUCAACAUGAAGCAAAAACAAUCCAAACAUCAAGCAUGCAAACCUUGAACAUAAACAUGCAAUUAAACCACAUAACAAAAGCAUGCUAAACCUGCUACAAGACUUUGUAGCCAUUCAAACCUGAACAAAUAAGCAUCAUCAAUCUGCACCAUGAGCCACAAGUCCAUUCUGCAAUGCUGCAUCACACCCAAAGUCAAAAGCAACACAUGAACCUACAAAUGCAAGCCUAUAACUUGUUAUGCAUUAGCCAAGACCACAAACAUCCUAUUGCAACACUAUAUAAAACCUUCAAAACAAGGAUCUAACAUUGCAAAGUAGGCAGCAGGUUGCAAUAACCUUCAUUCAUCCAUCGUG
rnacentral:lncRNA from 1 species